rnacentral:misc_RNA from 1 species
GGAUGCGAGAAUUCGCGGGGGGCAGCGUAAGCGACUGCUUAGCCCAUCAAUUUUGUCACUUCCGCAGCACCUUUGCCUAUUAGAGAUUUAAUAGCGCGGGUUGCGUAAGCCGGGCGAUAACUGGGUUCGCGCUGCGGACAUGGUCGAAUAGGGCACCGAGUUGGUAGAGAAGCCGUGCCUUGUGCGAGGCUGAUGACGGGCAACUCGGCUAGCGCAUUGUGAGACUGGA